rnacentral:rRNA from 1 species
GACGAACGCUGGCGGCGUGCCUAACACAUGCAAGUCGAACGGGGAUACUAUUGUAGCAAUACGAAAGUAUUCUAGUGGCGGACGGGUGAGUAACGCGUGAGCAAUCUGCCCUUCGGAGGGGGACAACAGCUGGAAACGGCUGCUAAUACCGCAUAACGUAUAGGGGAGGCAUCUUCUGUAUACCAAAGAUUUAUCGCCGAAGGAUGAGCUCGCGUCUGAUUAGCUAGUUGGUGAGGUAACGGCUCACCAAGGCUGCGAUCAGUAGCCGGACUGAGAGGUUGAACGGCCACAUUGGGACUGAGAUACGGCCCAGACUCCUACGGGAGGCAGCAGUGGGGAAUAUUGGGCAAUGGGCGAAAGCCUGACCCAGCAACGCCGCGUGAAGGAAGAAGGCCCUCGGGUUGUAAACUUCUUUGACCAGGGACGAAAGAAAUGACGGUACCUGGAAAACAAGCCACGGCUAACUACGUGCCAGCCGCCGCCGUAA